rnacentral:lncRNA from 1 species
GACGGUUACAUAUUUAAAUGACUAAUUAACGCCUUUCGGUCUUCCUACAUUAAAGACAUUUGUUCUCACGCCACAAUUGUUUGUUUUUAUUUGUUUUAGACUUAUAAUUUUUUAAUUUAUAAUAAUAGCAUUAAUAAUAUGAACAGUCCUAAACAUAUUCCUUAAUACUAUUAUAUUAAAUAGAUAUAUUCCUCGAUAAAUUUGCACUAUUCUGUUAAAGUAACAAUAGUGAUUUUCUAAAGAAAAGUUAGAAAUUAUCCAUUUCACUGGAAAUAAAUAAUUUAGUAAGAACGAAAAGUAAAAGAGAAAAAAAGGGAGAGAAAAGAAAAAGGAACUUACUUGGUGAGAGAGUAG